ACAGGAAAGACUGAAUUUUCCAAGAAGCAAUUUUUAUUCUUGCACUAUUGUGCAAAGCCAUCAUUUUGUUAUUGUUGCCAUUGUUGUCGGCUUAGCAGGUGAGCCUCAUUAUUUUUGGAACUUGCCCUUGGAACUGUGCCACCGGGUAAGUCCUUUUCCCUAUUUCUAAACCUGCCCUCGGAACUGUGCCUACGGGUAGGCUUUUUUCCCUCAGUUAGGAACCCUGCCUUCGCAACUGUGCCAUCAGGCUAGUUCCCUUCGUUGGCUCCUCCUGUAUCUCCUCGGCUCCCCGCAGAAAAAGCUAUCUUGCCUUGAAGAGUCUAGUUUUCUUCUUGUUCUUGACUUUGGGGACUCCGAAGCUGAGGGCAGGGUCAGGGGCAGGGAACACAGGGGAGGGACAGAGUCCUGUCCUGAGGGUUCGUGGGGAAGCUUUCGGCAGGGCAGGGACACUGAGCCACGUUUGCAAGGGGUCAGACGAAGGGCAGGGAGGGGGCCCGAGAUGGGUUGGGCACAAGAUUCUUGGAGGAUGUGCUCACUUGCUGUGGUCUGGUCUCAGCAUGACCUCCUGUGCUGCUUGGUCCUUGCCGAGACUCCAUAGUCCCCACUGCUCCCCCUGCAGCACUGCCCCUGUCCUGGGCCCAGGCCCAGCCACCCCGAUGGACACGCCAGUGGAGGAAUCCCUCUUCCAAAUCAUCCACUGCUACCACCAGUACGCGGCCCGGGAGGGGGACGUGGAGACCCUGUGCCCGGAGGAGUUGACGGCCUUUCUUGUGGACAACAUGCCUCGCUUCAUGGAGAGCUUGGGCCGGAAGGAGCCGUACUAUGUCAUAGAGUUGUUCCGGGCAGCAGACAAGGACAAGGACAACCAGAUCUGCUUUGAGGAGUUCCUCUACAUCCUGGGCAAGCUGGUGAAGGACUACCACCUGCAGUGCCACUGGCAGGUGUGUGCCCACUACUGCGCCUGGCACAGUCUUUAUUAGAGGGAGCACGGGCAGCCUCCACACAGGGCUGCCCCGGGAGCAGGCGUGACUGGGCUGUGAGCCCUGCCUUGUGUGUCUGUGGCAAGGACAGCUGUGAGGGAAGAGAAUAAAACAGCUUUGUAAAGAUGUCUGGGUGUCAUUCUGUUCAUGGCCCUGGGCAUCUGCUCUGGGUGAAGAAAGAGGAGGUUUGAGGAUCACCAAUUUUCUUUUUUUUUCUUUUUUUGUCCUUUUUGCCAUUUCUUGGGCCACUCCCACGGGAUAUGGAGGUUCCCAGGCUAGGAGUCGAAUAAGAGCUGUAAUCGCUGGCCUACACCAGGGCCACAGCAACGUGGGAUCUGAUCCGCGUCUGCAACCUACACCACAGCUCAUGGCAACGCCAGAUCCUUAACCCACUGAGCGAGGCCGGGGAUUGAACCCGCAACCUCAUGGUUCCCAGUCGGAUUCCUUAACCACUGAGCCAUGACGGGAACUCCGAGGAUCAUGCAUUUUUGAGGAGAGACACAGCCCCUGCCCCCAAGAUCUCCU
rnacentral:lncRNA from 9 species